GUGCUCGCUUUGGCAGCACAUAUAUUAAAGUUGGAACUAUACAGGGAUGAUUAUCAUGGACACUGUGCAAGGAUGACACGCAAAUUCGUGAAGAAAUUGCUCCUGGC